UGGGGAAUAUUGGGGCAAUGGGGCGCAAGCCUGACCCAGCAACGCCGCGUGAAGGAAGAAGGCUUUCGGGUUGUAAACUUCUUUUAAGAGGGAAGAGCAGAAGACUGUACCUCUAGAAUAAGCCACGGCUAACUACGUGCCAGCAGCCGCGGUAAUACGUAGGUGGCAAGCGUUGUCCGGAUUUACUGGGUGUAAAGGGCGUGUAGGCGGGAGAGCAAGUCAGAAGUGAAAUCUAUGGGCUUAACCCAUAAACUGCUUUUGAAACUGUUCUUCUUGAGUAUCGGAGAGGCAGGCGGAAUUCCUAGUGUAGCGGUGAAAUGCGUAGAUAUUAGGAGGAACACCAGUGGCGAAGGCGGCCUGCUGGACGACAACUGACGCUGAGGCGCGAAAGCGUGGGGAGCAAACAGGAUUA
rnacentral:rRNA from 1 species